CCUACGGGUGGCAGCAGUGGGGAAUAUUGCGCAAUGGGCGAAAGCCUGACGCCGCGACGCCGCGUGAGGGAUGAAGGUCUUCGGAUCGUCAACCUCUGUCAGCAGGGAAGAACGGUCCCUGUGCUACUCAGCAGUGAAUUGACGGUACCUGCAAAGGAAGCACCGGCUAACUCCGUGCCAGCAGCCGCGGUAAUACGGAGGUGGCGAGCGUUAAUCGGAAUUACUGGGCGUAAAGCGCUCGUAGGCGGGAUGUCAAGUCAAGGGUGAAAUCCCCGCGCUCAACGUGGGAACUGCGUUUGAAACUGGCAAACUGGAGUGCGGGAGAGGAAAGUGGAAUUCCAGGUGUAGGAGUGAAAUCCGUAGAUAUCUGGAGGAACAGCAGUGGCGAAGGCGACUAGCUGGAACAUAACUGACGCUGAGGAGCGAAAGCGUGGGUAGCAAACAGGAUUAGAUACCCGAGUAGUC
rnacentral:rRNA from 1 species